rnacentral:rRNA from 1 species
AUUGAACGCUGGCGGCAGGCUUAACACAUGCAAGUCGAGCGGGGGAAGGUAGCUUGCUACCGGACCUAGCGGCGGACGGGUGAGUAAUGCUUAGGAAUCUGCCUAUUAGUGGGGGACAACAUCUCGAAAGGGAUGCUAAUACCGCAUACGUCCUACGGGAGAAAGCAGGGGAUCUUCGGACCUUGCGCUAAUAGAUGAGCCUAAGUCGGAUUAGCUAGUUGGUGGGGUAAAGGCCUACCAAGGCGACGAUCUGUAGCGGGUCUGAGAGGAUGAUCCGCCACACUGGGACUGGGACACGGCCCAGACUCCUACGGGAGGCAGCAGUGGGGAAUAUUGGACAAUGGGGGGAACCCUGAUCCAGCCAUGCCGCGUGUGUGAAGAGGGCCUUAUGGUUGUAAAGCACUUUAAGCGAGGAGGAGGCUACUCUAGUUAAUACCUAGGGAUAGUGGACGUUACUCGCAGAAUAAGCACCGGCUAACUCUGUGCCAGCAGCCGCCGUAACAC